UACGUAGGGUGCGAGCGUUGUCCGGAAUUAUUGGGCGUAAAGGGCUCGUAGGCGGUUUGUUGCGUCGGGAGUGAAAACUCAGGGCUUAACCCUGAGCCUGCUUCCGAUACGGGCAGACUAGAGGUAUGCAGGGGAGAACGGAAUUCCUGGUGUAGCGGUGAAAUGCGCAGAUAUCAGGAGGAACACCGGUGGCGAAGGCGGUUCUCUGGGCAUUACCUGACGCUGAGGAGCGAAAGCGUGGGGAGCGAACGGG
rnacentral:rRNA from 1 species